rnacentral:rRNA from 1 species
AACGUAGGAGGCAAGCGUUAUCCGGAGUUACUGGGCGUAAAGCGCGCGCAGGCGGUUAGGCAAGUUGGGUGUGAAAGCUCCCGGCUAAACCGGGAGAGUGCAUUCAAGACUGCCUGGCUAGAGGACGGUAGAGGGGCGCAGAAUUCGGGGUGUAGCGGUGAAAUGUGUAGAGAUCCCGAGGAAUACCAGUGGGGAAGCCGGCGCCCUGGGCCGAACCUGACGCUGAGGCGCGACAGCGUGGGGAGCGAACGGG